rnacentral:rRNA from 1 species
CAACAGGGAUUGCCCUAGUAACGGCGAGUGAAGCGGCAACAGCUCAAAUUUGAAAUCUGGCUCUUUCAGAGUCCGAGUUGUAAUUUGCAGAGGGCGCUUUGGCUUUGGCAGCGGUCCAAGUUCCUUGGAACAGGACGUCACAGAGGGUGAGAAUCCCGUACGUGGUCGCUAGCUAUUGCCGUGUAAAGCCCCUUCGACGAGUCGAGUUGUUUGGGAAUGCAGCUCUAAAUGGGAGGUAAAUUUCUUCUAAAGCUAAAUAUUGGCCAGAGACCGAUAGCGCACAAGUAGAGUGAUCGAAAGAUGAAAAGCACUUUGGAAAGAGAGUCAAACAGCACGUGAAAUUGUUGAAAGGGAAGCGCUUGCAGCCAGACUUGCUUGCAGUUGCUCAUCCGGGCUUUUGCCCGGUGCACUCUUCUGCAGGCAGGCCAGCAUCAGUUUGGGCGGUGGGAUAAAGGUCUCUGUCACGUACCAUCCUUCGGGAUGGCCAUAUAGGGGAGACGUCAUACCACCAGCCUGGACUGAGGUCCGCGCAUCUGCUAGGAUGCUGGCGUAAUGGCUGUAAGCGGCCCGUCUUGAAACACGGACCAAGGAGUCUAACAUCUAUGCGAGUGUUUGGGUGUCAAGCCCGAGCGCGUAAUGAAAGUGAACGGAGGUGGGAACCCGCAAGGGUGCACCAUCGACCGAUCCUGAAGUUUACGGAAGGAUUUGAGUAAGAGCAUGGCUGUUGGGACCCGAAAGAUGGUGAACUAUGCUUGAAUAGGGUGAAGCCAGAGGAAACUCUGGUGGAGGCUCGCAGCGGUUCUGACGUGCAAAUCGAUCGUCAAAUUUGGGCAUAGGGGCGAAAGACUAAUCGA